rnacentral:miRNA from 1 species
CCAGGGUUCAUGUCCCUGUUCAGGCGCCAGAUGUCAGGCUGUGCAGCUGGAGAGGGAACA